AAUAGAACCUAAGGAAGGCGAGUUAGUGCCACUGUACUCAAUAGAACUAAUAGGAGUUAGCAGGGUGAAAAAUGCCCUAAAAUAAGGCCUGUUUUUUCGUGAUUACUUCAAAACUACGGCAAACAGCUGGGACAUAAGCGGUCAGGCCAACCACCGUUGUCUCGUCUGAAAACGUAAUGAUGGUGUUGGAGUCGUGCACGGCCACGCAGUCAUGGAAGAAACCAAACACACACCCCUGUGAGGCCCCGUGUUAAGGAACUUCACUGAUGGAAAGCCAAGCGAAAUAUGUCCUAACCCUGUAGAUGCGGGGAGCACAUGGCUGGAACAACAUCCUUCAGAUGACCUCCAAACAAAAGGUAGCUAGCUAUUUUAACAAAGUAGCUAUCAGCCUAGCGUAACUGUGACUAAUGUUAGUGAAGAUGUAAAUA